UCUAAUCUUACAGCAUGAAUCUUUUCUUACUAAUCAUAUCAUUCUUUUUUCCAAUAUUAAAAUCUAAAAAUUAAAGGAUUGUAUAUGUAUAAACCCUAGGAAUAGGAUUACAUGUAACAACAGAAUUAGGUUAUAGGGACACAUGUUUGGGACACUUUUGAGUAAGUGUCUUAUUUAUACUAAAACUUAAAAAAACAUCUACUAAUACCUAAAUAUAAAGCCCAAUCCAACCAAAAAUAAAAGAUUACUCUACUCAACCCACCACACUCAGUCCAUUUGGCCCGAUUACAAACAGAAAAGAAAAAAAAAAAGAAAAAUUAAUUGUCAUCUUUUCUUCUCUAUUCACUCAAUCAACUGAAAUUCUAGACGAAGAGCUUUUCCUGUCGUUCUCCUCCGCCCACCGCAGCCAACGAGAUAGAGUUUCGGCGGUUGCUAAAUGGUUAAAUAAGUGUUGGUAAAUUAGCAGCACUCUUUUAGGUUAUCGCGACACUCUUUAACUGUCACUAUAUACCUAGCGAUUCCACAUAUAGCAACACUUUUUAAAAGUGUCGGUAAUUUUAGCUAGCAGCACUUUUUUGACAUGUAUCUAUAUUUAAAAGUGUCGCUAUAGACCAUUUUUGUUGUAGUGACAGUUCGUACUUUAAGCGUCGUAACUUCAACAUUGUUCUUUAAA
rnacentral:lncRNA from 1 species